rnacentral:lncRNA from 11 species
UUGUGUUUCUCGCUUUCUCUGCUUCUACACAAAGCCAAAAGGUCUCUGUUGUUUGCUGCAACAAGAAUAUCAUGAUUACACCUUUGGAAAUUGUUAUAAAUCCCUGGAGUGUCUCUCCUGUUUACACACAUAUGUGUAUGUUAUAAAUCCCUGGAAAUUGUUAUAAAUCCCUGGAGUGUCUCUCCUGUACACAUACAUAUGAAGGACUGUAAUCCAAUGUACGAG